rnacentral:snoRNA from 1 species
GGAUAUGAUGAAGCAUAAUUGACACCCAGUCUUAUUUCCUAAUGGAAGCUGGUGAUAAUUUUUUUUUAUCUGAUCC